CUGACAUUAGAUACCCCUGUAGUCCCAGCCGUAAACUAUGCGCGUUAGGUGUAUCGGUGACCACGAGUUACCGAGGUGCCGAAGGGAAACCGUGAAACGUGCCGCCUGGGAAGUACGGUCGCAAGGCUGAAACUUAAAGGAAUUGGCGGGGAGCACCACAACAGGUGGAGCCUGCGGUUUAAUUGGACUCAACGCCGGGAAGCUCACCGGAUAGGACAGCAGAAUGAUUGCCGGGCUGAAGACCCUGCAUGACUAGCUG
rnacentral:rRNA from 1 species